AUUGAACGCUGGCGGCAGGCCUAACACAUGCAAGUCGAACGGUAACAGGGAUCAGCUUGCUGAUUCGCUGACGAGUGGCGGACGGGUGAGUAAUGUCUGGGAAACUGCCUGAUGGAGGGGGAUAACUACUGGAAACGGUAGCUAAUACCGCAUAACGUCGCAAGACCAAAGAGGGGGACCUUCGGGCCUCUUGCCAUCGGAUGUGCCCAGAUGGGAUUAGCUAGUAGGUGGGGUAACGGCUCACCUAGGCGACGAUCCCUAGCUGGUCUGAGAGGAUGACCAGCCACACUGGAACUGAGACACGGUCCAGACUCCUACGGGAGGCAGCAGUGGGGAAUAUUGCACAAUGGGCGCAAGCCUGAUGCAGCCAUGCCGCGUGUAUGAAGAAGGCCUUCGGGUUGUAAAGUACUUUCAGCGGGGAGGAAGGGGUAAAGUUAAUACCUUUGCUCAUUGACGUUACCCGCAGAAGAAGCACCGGCUAACUCCGUG
rnacentral:rRNA from 1 species